UACGUAGGGGGCAAGCGUUGUCCGGAUUCAUUGGGCGUAAAGGGUGCGUAGGUGGCGCCGUAAGUGGGGUGUGAAAUUUCGGAGCUUAACUCCGAAACUGCAUUCCAUACUGCGGUGCUUGAGGACUGGAGAGGAGACUGGAAUUCAUGGUAUAGCAGUGAAAUGCGUAGAGAUCAUGAGGAAGACCAGUGGCGAAGGCGGGUCUCUGGACAGUUCCUGACACUGAGGCACGAAGGCCAGGGGAGCAAACGGG
rnacentral:rRNA from 1 species